rnacentral:rRNA from 1 species
UCCUACGGGAGGCAGCAGUGGGGAAUAUUGCGCAAUGGGGGAAACCCUGACGCAGCAACGCCGCGUGAGCGAUGAAGGUCUUCGGAUUGUAAAGCUCUGUCUUUAGGGACGAUAAUGACGGUACCUAAGGAGGAAGCCACGGCUAACUACGUGCCAGCAGCCGCGGUAAUCUU